rnacentral:misc_RNA from 1 species
UGGCUCUGGCAUNGAUGAAGAACGCAGCGAAAUGCGAUAAGUAAUGUGAAUUGCAGAAUUCAGUGAGUCAUCGAAUCUUUGAACGCACAUUGCGCCCCUUGGUAUUCCGGGGGGCAUGCCUGUCCGAGCGUCAUUUCACCCCUCACGCCCCGCGUGGUCUUGGGCAUCGCCGGCGCGUCCGGCGGGCCUCAAAUGCAGCGGCGGCGCCCCCGGGCCCCCAGCGUAGUACCUCACCUCGCUGUCGGGUCCCGGGCGGACGCCUGCCAGAACCCAACUUUCUCGAAAUUGACCUCGGAUCAGGUAGGGAUACCCGCUGA